UACGGAGGGUGCGAGCGUUAAUCGGAAUCACUGGGCGUAAAGCGCGCGUAGGCGGCUUUUCAAGUCAGGGGUGAAAUCCCACGGCCCAACCGUGGAACUGCCUUUGAAACUGUAGAGCUUGAGUGUCGGAGAGGGUGGCGGAAUUCCGGGUGUAGGAGUGAAAUCCGUAGAUAUCUGGAGGAACACCGGUGGCGAAGGCGGCCACCUGGACGACAACUGACGCUGAGGUGCGAAAGCGUGGGUAGCAAACAGG
rnacentral:rRNA from 1 species